rnacentral:rRNA from 1 species
CUACGUGCCAGCAGCCGCGGUAAUACGUAGGGCGCGAGCGUUGUCCGGAAUUAUUGGGCGUAAAGGGCUUGUAGGCGGUUGGUCGCGUCUGCCGUGAAAUUCUCUGGCUUAACUGGGGGCGUGCGGUGGGUACGGGCUGACUUGAGUGCGGUAGGGGAGACUGGAACUCCUGGUGUAGCGGUGGAAUGCGCAGAUAUCAGGAAGAACACCGGUGGCGAAGGCGGGUCUCUGGGCCGUUACUGACGCUGAGGAGCGAAAGCGUGGGGAGCGAACAGGAUUAGAUACCCUGGUAGUCCACGCUGUAAACGUUGGGCACUAGGUGUGGGGGCCACCCGUGGUUUCUGCGCCGUAGCUAACGCWUUAAGUGCCCCGCCUGGGGAGUACGGCCGCAAGGCUAAAACUCAAAGAAAUUGACGGGGGCCCGCACAAGCGGCGGAGCAUGCGGAUUAAUUCGAUGCAACGCGAAGAACCUUACCAAGGCUUGACAU